CAGCCGCCGCGGGAAUACGUAGGUGGCAAGCGUUGUCCGGAAUCAUUGGGCGUAAAGGGCUCGCAGGCGGUCUCUUAAGUCUGAUGUGAAAGCCCCCGGCUCAACCGGGGAGGGUCAUUGGAAACUGGGAAACUUGAGUGCAGAAGAGGAGAGUAGAAUUCCACGUGUAGCGGUGAAAUGCGUAGAGAUGUGGAGGAACACCAGUGGCGAAGGCGACUCUCUGGUCUGUAACUGACGCUGAGGAGCGAAAGCGUGGGGAGCGAACAGGAUUAGAUACCCCCGUAGUCCCUGUCUCUUAUAU
rnacentral:rRNA from 1 species